UUUUAAGGUAUUGAUCAUGUG
ensembl:piRNA 21ur-807 ncRNA